rnacentral:ncRNA from 1 species
AUAACGACCCAGGGGUGCUGGAAUUGGCCGGCUGAGAUUGUGUCCCACAAGACAUUGACCCUUAUACCUGAUCUGGAUAAUGCCAGCGUAGGAACGAACUGUUUUUUAGUG